UACGUAGGGUGCGAGCGUUAAUCGGAAUUACUGGGCGUAAAGCGUGCGCAGGCGGCUUUGCAAGACAGAUGUGAAAUCCCCGGGCUCAACCUGGGAACUGCAUUUGUGACUGCAAGGCUAGAGUACGGCAGAGGGGGAUGGAAUUCCGCGUGUAGCAGUGAAAUGCGUAGAUAUGCGGACGAACACCAAUGGCGAAGGCAAUCCCCUGGGCCUGUACUGACGCUCAUGCACGAAAGCGUGGGGAGCAAACAGG
rnacentral:rRNA from 1 species